rnacentral:piRNA from 1 species
UCCUAAACUCCGGAAGAGUGAGCCCUAGG